rnacentral:misc_RNA from 1 species
GGCUCAUUGUGAAGAUAAGUCAUGCCUCUGGCAAUAUCCAAUGCAAAGUUAAUGGCUGUUGAAGGACUUAGUGCACCCUUUUCCUUGAGGUACUGAUGAAGAUCACCCCCUCGUAAAUACUCAGUGAUCAACAUAAGAGGCUUCUUCUCAGUGACAGCUCCUAGAAAUUGGACUAUAUUUGGGUGGCGAAGCUUCACUAGCAAAUUAACCUCAUGCCUGAAAUCCUGAAUCACCAAUCUAUCAUCUGAAAGGGAUGGUAGAAUGCGCUUGACAGCUACAGGUGUUCCACGCCAAUAGGCUUUCAAAAUCUCCCCAAA